GGGGGCGACGACGGUGCGUGCGGAGGACGCGAGCUCCAUCUGCCGCCUGCAGGGGUGGGAGGGAAGCAGGCUGGACCACUUUGGGACUGAGCUCCCGGGAGGAGGAGGCGGCGGCAGCAGCUGCCUGCCUGCCCCCAUGCCAAGUCCGGCUCCUGUUUCUCACCUGGUGGGAGUCGUAGUGAGCAAACCAGCGGAGGGAGAUACUCUGAGUUCCUUUUCUUGCAAAUGGGACAGCAAGACGUGGGAAUAAAUCACCCAGGCCUCGUGCUGGAGCAGAGCGAACACGGGCUGUUCUGCUUUGGAUUCUGCAAGCCUCCUCCCCCAACUUCUAGAAUCUUCUGGUACUCGCAUUAAGAGAUGCUUGGCCUUGAAACCCAGCCGCCAUGCUGUGAGGAAGCCCAAGCCAGCCACACAAAGAGAUCCACGUGGAGAGGCACUGAGGCCCCGCCUACAAGGAGCAUCCUCUUACUCACAUGGGAGGGAGGGAUGGAGGGAGCCUUGAAUGAUCCAGACCCUGGCUUUCCAGCUGAGGUUCCAGACAAAAAGGAGCAGAGACAAGCUGUCAUCAUGGAUGCUCUGUGUCUGAAUUCCUGACCCAUUCAACCGUAUCCAUAAUAAAUGGUUGCUCUAUGUCACUGAAUUUUGGGGUAGGCAUAAAAACUGGAGCAGCUUAUAAGUCCGAAGUCAUAAAAACGGGUGCAGCUAAUGAGCACGGAAGUCAGGGUUUGAACAUAGGCAUCCAAGACUCUUUCCACUACAUUUCCCCGCUACCCCACUCUUGCUGUGUGGCGAAACACCAGCAUCAUCACAUUUAUCCGCCUCCUCUCCCCCUGCCUGGGACCUCUGACUAAUCUCAAGAGCACUCAUUUUUAUUUGGAAAAAAAAAUCAGAAUUCAAAGGAAAUUGUUCACAGAGCGUGUAAAAGCCUUUCCCAGUGACAGCUGCAGUUCAUUUCACAAAAAAGAGCCACCAGCCCACUUAUAGCAGCCCCCCUCCCCACCCCCAACAAGUGAG
rnacentral:lncRNA from 10 species